UAUGUCUCAAAAUGCCAUUAAAGUUCAGAAAGAUUAUGUUCAAUUUAUAUUUUCGUACCUUCAAUCUCUCAUCAAAUGCUACAUCUAUUCUAUGGGGUAUCUUCAUUCUUGCAGCGUCAGAGGGUAAGGAGUAGGGACGAUUACCUCGUAAUUAAAGCUGCUAUUUAUCAGCGAAAGAGUUUAUUAUAAUGAUUCAAACCUGGUGGGUAAGAGUAAGACUAUUUAGCUGGUGAUUGGCACGUGUCAGGCCUCUUGAUCUUUGGGACCGUUCGAUCGGAAGAUUCUAGAUAAUGAGUUUUGAAGCUGCAUGCUUGCUACUGUGCGUAAGAUAGCUAGCCUCGCGGUGACUCAUCAUCAGCUAGGAUAUGCGCACUCUAGCAUACUUGGUGUCGAAGAUUGUAAUUCCAGGUGGGGGUGGUGAUACAAACCUUUAUUUCUAUUAUUUAUAUUCUUUGCCUUCGGUACUUAUUGAUCCCCAAAAUUUCAUCAAAUUUUUUUGGCAUCCUCUAAUUAAUAUCACAUUCUCAUAUAGUAUUGUCACUUCAUUUUGACUGAGCCCACUACAUUCACAACACAACACACAAAUAGGGUGAAACUUCUAGUAUUGAUAGACUUUUUGGUUUGCAUUACUUAUUUGUAGGUCCAUAAUUCACACCCAAGGUUGAAGCUAAUUUUUUUUUUCUACACACACAUAUAAUCAUACUUAAACAUGAUUCUUACAUUAUUUAUAAAAUAAUAUGUAUUAUUUUUUCUUACAUAAGAAUAUUUC